UACGAAGGGGGCUAGCGUUGCUCGGAAUCACUGGGCGUAAAGCGCACGUAGGCGGAUUGCUAAGUCAGGGGUGAAAUCCUGGAGCUCAACUCCAGAACUGCCUUUGAUACUGGCGAUCUUGAGUCCGGGAGAGGUGAGUGGAACUGCGAGUGUAGGGGUGAAAUUCGUAGAUAUUCGCAAGAACACCAGUGGCGAAGGCGGCUCACUGGACCGAUACUGACGCUGAGGCACGAAAGCGUGGGGAGCAAACAGG
rnacentral:rRNA from 1 species